UCUCGGUUGUGGUGUUUCUAUUCUGUACCAGUGCCUCAUCAUGUCAUAAGAGUUGUGUUGUUCCAAACGAAGGGAGGUCUCGGUUGUGGUGUUUCUAUUCUGUACCAGUGCCUCAUCAUGUCAUAAGAGUUGUGUUGUUCCAAACGAAGGGAGGUCAAAUGUACCAAAGUUCAAAUAUAUGUUUAUUCUACUUUUAUACAAAGUAUGAAUAUAUCUAGAAUGUCUAUGAUGAGCUAACAUUCUAGCAAUGCUGCAUUCACUUCUUCAUAAUUGAGAUCAUGUGGUUCAAUCAAAUGAUGUGAAAAUGUUGUGCUGAUAUGAUAUGACCCCCCCUUCCCCCCAGGGAUAUAAAAUAAUAAAUAAUAUAUUGUCUCAUCCUUUUCUUCUAGAAGUAUCUGCUGUGAUCUGCGCUUUAUAAUUGUUUGUUUGUUUGAUUGAAUGAUUGUUCUUUACUGAGAAUCUCUUAUUUUUCUUUCACCUGUGACCACAUGGAUCAAUAUAUAUAUAUUAUAUAUUAUAUAUAUAUAUGUCAUAUCACCUGCCAAUGUACAGUAUGGUCUUACAAAUAAACCAAAGUUGACCUGGAAAAAAUC